UACGUAGGCAGCAAGCGUUGUUCGGAGUUACUGGGCGUAAAGGGUGCGUAGGCGGCUCUAUAAGUAUGGUGUGAAAUCUCCCGGCUUAACUGGGAGGGUGCGCUAUAGACUGUGGGGCUAGAGUGUGGGAGAGGAAAGUGGAAUUCCUGGUGUAGCGGUGAAAUGCGUAGAUAUCAGGAGGAACACCAGUGGCGAAGGCGGCUACCUGGACCGGUUCUGACGCUGAUGCGCGAAAGCGUGGGUAGCAAACAGG
rnacentral:rRNA from 1 species